GUUGCGUCAACAGAACGGAGGAAGCAGCGGGAGAGACAGAUAGGGAGAGGGACACAGGACGAGAUGUGUGUACGUGCAGAGCUGCACUAAACCGCGACACACGGUCUGGGGGAUUCCAGCCAGCUGCACAGGGGAGCGCUGACCUUGGCAAAGAGCACGCAGUUUAUCAGCCCCUGGAACAAACAAGUGUUAAGAUUCAAGCGUCGACCGGUCAGCAGAUAAAUGAUUGACUCGCAUUAAUGAAGCCGGAAAGACUUGCACUUUUAACAAGAAAGCGUGCUGCUCUGCAAUUACUACGAAUUACACGUCGCGCGUGAUGGGAGAGGAUGGCGUUUUUUUGAUCCGUUUUCAGGCGAAAGCGUUUACUGCCAAACUCGUUACACUGAUGUGGCUUUGGGUUGCAGAGAGAUUUGUUGGAUUCGUUGUGUAACCGUCUCUUUCUGCAGGAGUGAAAUCAAGACGAGGUUCUGGUGGAGGCUGCGUGUGCCGUUUCAGCACGUCGGGCAGGAGAGGUGAAGAAACUUGCUUCCCCUCCUCGCAAUCACAUCCGAACAAUAAGUGAUUAUCCGUCUCUCACUGCUGUUGAGAUAAAUGCAUCUUGCUAAGAGUAAUAGCCGAAGGCUCGGGUUGUUUUUGAUCUGAUAAAACCCGGGACUUAAAAAUGAACCUACUAUCUGCCCAUAAUGAAAGUUACCUUUGGCCAGCAUCAUGAGUCUGACAUUCCUGUCAUAUCUUGCUUAAGGGCAGUGGCGCAACUACACGUUAUUUAGGUGGAUGCGAAAACAUAAAUCGGCGCCCCCCACCCACCCUGGAAGGAAUGUCAAAUGUCUGGUUGAAGGAGCGACGCUCACUCGCUCGACAAACUUGGACUAAUUAUCUCGUUCUUUAUCUCAAGCCGGUAGAGCUGCUUUGAGAUGCAGUGGACCGGGAUCUACAGCUGACAGAUCUGCAGCCUGAU